rnacentral:rRNA from 1 species
GACGAACGCUGGCGGCAGGCUUAACACAUGCAAGUCGAACGAAGUGGCGAACGGGUGAGUAAUACGAGGGUAACCGGCCCUCCGUGUUGGGAUAAGCCUAGGAAACGGGGUAUAAUACCGGAUAAAGGGGGAUGGGCUCGCGGCAUAUGAGCGGGUUGGGGGUGGGAUGGCCUACCAAGGCGGUGAGGGGUAGCCGGCCUGAGAGGGUGACUGGCAACAUUGCGACGGAGAUACGCCCCCGGCACCCACGGGUGGCGGCUGUUGGGGAUAGUGCGCAAGGGGCGAAAGGCUGAUGCGGCGACGCGGCGUGGGGGAUGAAGGCGUUCGGGUUGUAAACCUGUUUCGAUGUCGAGCGGUUACGUGGAGAAGAAGCGCCGGCUAACUACGUGCCAGCAGCCGCGGUAAUUC